rnacentral:rRNA from 1 species
ACUCCUACGGGAGGCAGCAGUGAGGAAUAUUGGUCAAUGGGCGCAAGCCUGAACCAGCCAUGCCGCGUGCAGGAAGACUGCCUUAUGGGUUGUAAACUGCUUUUAUAUGGGGAAGAAACCCCUCUACGUGUAGAGCUGGUACAGGGUACCAUAAGAAUAAGCACCGGCUAACUCCGUGCCAGCAGCCGCGGUAAUACGGAGGGUGCAAGCGUUAUCCGGAAUCAUUGGGUUUAAAGGGUCCGCAGGCGGUCAAUUAAGUCAGAGGUGAAAUCCUAUAGCUUAACUAUAGAACUGCCUUUGAUACUGGUUGACUUGAGUUAUACGGAAGUAGGUAGAAUGUGUAGUGUAGCGGUGAAAUGCAUAGAUAUUACACAGAAUACCGAUUGCGAAGGCAGCCUACUACGUAUAUACUGACGCUCAUGGACGAAAGCGUGGGAGCGAACAGGAUUAGAUACCCUGGUAGGACAGUG